rnacentral:rRNA from 1 species
UGGGCAACCUGUCCCUGGCUCUGGGAUAGCUCCGGGAAACCGGAGCUAAUACCGGAUACGAGACCGAUUGGCAUCAAUACGGUCUGGAAAGUUUUUCGGCCAGGGAUGGGCUCGCGGCCUAUCAGCUUGUUGGUGGGGUAAUGGCCCACCAAGGCGACGACGGGUAGCCGGCCUGAGAGGGCGACCGGCCACACUGGGACUGAGACACGGCCCAGACUCCUACGGGAGGCA